AUACGGAGGGUGCAAGCGUUGUUCGGAAUCACUGGGCGUAAAGGGCGCGCAGGCGGUUUGGUAAGUCAGAUGUGAAAGCCCAUGGCUCAACCAUGGAAGUGCAUUUGAAACUGUCAGACUUGAGUACUAGAGGGGAAAGUGGAAUUCCCGGUGUAGAGGUGAACUUCGUAGAUAUCGGGAGGAAUACCGGUGGCGAAGGCGACUUUCUGGCUAGAUACUGACGCUGAGGCGCGAAAGCGUGGGGAGCAAACAGGAUUAGAAACCCUAGUAGUCC
rnacentral:rRNA from 1 species